UGAUAGAAUCAGCUAUGCGACUGUUUCUUCCAGGCUCCGGGCAGAACACACAUGGCUCCCCUUUGCUCCUGACUGUCUCCGCUGGCGUUGCAGGUAAGGACACUGUGGAAUGACAGGUUCUAUUUCCUACCACGAUAGUUAACCCUGCGUCUGGCCUAGGGCUCUGCGUUGAAGUCCUCUCCUGGUUUCUGACAAGAGGAGUUGAGGAACAGGUUGCAUUUGGAGAGUUAAUUGUGACAUCAGUAUCAUCACAUUCAAAACAAUCCUGUAUGUAUUUCAGUACAUUUUGACCAGGCUGUAUAUUGAUCUUCUUUCCUCCUUGCCCGCAGAAUCUUGCUCGGUAGUAUUUUUUUAAGUGAUCCAAGCGCUCCGCCAUCCCGGGCCGCCGCCGCCGGAACACUCCCGGCACCCAUCCG
rnacentral:lncRNA from 1 species